UGGGGAAUCUUGCACAAUGGGCGAAAGCCUGAUGCAGCGAUGCCGCGUGAGGGAUGAAGGCCUUCGGGUCGUAAACCUCUUUCAGUAGGGAAGAAGCCACGGGUCACCGUGGUGACGGUACCUACAGAAGAAGCCCCGGCUAACUACGUGCCAGCAGCCGCGGUAAGACGUAGGGGGCGAGCGUUGCCCGGAUUCACUGGGCGUAAAGCGCGUGUAGGCGGUCUGUUAAGUCGGAUGUGAAAGCUCCGGGCUCAACCCGGAAAUUGCAUCCGAUACUGGCAGACUUGAGGACGGUAGAGGUCGGUGGAAUACCAGGUGUACCGGUGAAAUGGGCAGAUAUCUGGUGGAACACCAGUGGCGAAGGCGGCCGACUGGGCCGAUCCUGACGCUGAGACGCGAAAGCCAGGGGAGCGAACCGG
rnacentral:rRNA from 1 species